rnacentral:lncRNA from 1 species
UUUCUGGAAAAAAGACUACUCUUGAUGGUAAAUAGUAAAGUCCUUAAAUUAUGGCAGUAUUCUCAUUAGUCAUUAAACAUUAAAAAAAAAAAUUGCAAUGCAAUUGUCAGUAAACAGGAACCAGCAGGUGCACACACUACACCACAAUAAUAGCCUACAUCUGUAGGAAAGAAUAAUAUGCUUCAACCAUCAAAAAAAUUCUCAAACCCGUCAGGAAUUUGUGAUCAGCAAUUGCUCAACUGCAUCUCUGUUUCAAGGACAGGGCUGAAAAAUUGCCAACUUGAAUCAUGAAAAACACCAAAAUAAUCAUCUGAAACUGUCUUGAUACUAAAUUCAUUUGUGAAUCUUCGGACAGCCAGGAUAUAGUUGGUGGAGUGAAUGAUAGCUGAGUUCUUGAACUCUAACAGAUGCUGCUCAUAUGUCUGAAAGCUAUUCCCAAACAAUACUAUACAAUUCAACUGCCGCACUCCCCAAUUCGCUUGUAAAAGAUUAUCAUAUAACUCAGCCUCACAAUGUGGCAUGAAAAACAUCGUUGGUUUUUUAA